CACAAUAUAAGGCCGAGUUCCGUAAUGGAAGCGGAGGAACCACUUUUGGGGUUAAUUUUGUCCUUGUGACAAAAGGGAUGUUUUCUCUUGUCAUCCUACCCGUCAGCUAACUUCGCAGGCCAAAGCAAGGGGUCGA
rnacentral:sRNA from 3 species